UACGUAGGGGGCUAGCGUUAUCCGGAAUUACUGGGCGUAAGGGUGCGUAGGUGGUUUCUUAAGUCAGAGGUGAAAGGCUACGGCUCAACCGUAGUAAGCCUUUGAAACUGGGAAACUUGAGUGCAGGAGAGGAGAGUGGAAUUCCUAGUGUAGCGGUGAAAUGCGUAGAUAUUAGGAGGAACACCAGUUGCGAAGGCGGCUCUCUGGACUGUAACUGACACUGAGGCACGAAAGCGUGGGGAGCAAACAGG
rnacentral:rRNA from 1 species